UCCCAUUGCAGUGGCAAAUGGUAAUUCUCUGGAACUGAGGAGAAAAAAGUUGGUUUAGUUUCCAGUUAAAGUGAGAUUUAAAGGAAUGACUGGCGGAACGAGCAGAGAUGAAUCUAGUGCCAAGAAUUGUCAGGCUCGUUCCCAUCGAUCCCGACGACGGAAUGUUCUGUUCAGCCGGCUUAUUUUGAAGCUGUGUUGUCCGGUUCUUAAAACUGGGCCAUAGUGUUAAGUAAAUGCCCUGAACAACAGCCUUCCGGCAAAUUGGAUGCCGUCACGUCAAUUAAAUUUCCGGGACUCUGGCCGGGAUGAUCAGCGUUGGCAAAUGCCCCUACCUUGGACCGACCUCAAGACCUCGCUCUCCCGAUGGUAGCCGGAUAGGAAGGUGGAAUUGUAACCAAUCCCCGCACGGGCUGCUGCAGGACGGGAUGCACCGUUGAUGGGAACCGGCACUGUGGGAUGACAAAACUAAUUGUUUUAGUGGUGAUAUCAUGUUGAUAAUGUUCAUAUAUGAAUAAAAAAAUAAAUUAAAUUUGUUCAUUCUUUUUUCUUUGGAACCCAAUAAAUAACAUUGAUGCAAAUAGAAA